UCCAUUGGCCUAGUGGUUAGAGCGUCCGCUUCGGAUGCGAGAGGUCGUUGGUUCGAUCCCCGAUCGACUCAU